AGCGAACGCUGGCGGCAGGCCUAACACAUGCAAGUCGAACGGAUCCUUCGUGAUUAGUGGCGGACGGGGGAGGCACACGUCGGAACGUGCCCUUUGGUUCGGAACACCUCAGGUACACUUGGGCUAAUGCCGGAAGUGCCCUUCUGGGGCAAGAUUUAUCGCCAUUGGAGCGGCCCGCGUCUGUUUAGCUAGUUGGUGAGGUAACGGCCCACCAAGGCGAAGAUCAGUAGCUGGUCUGAGAGGAUGAGCAGCCACACUGGGACUGGGACCCGGCGCAGACUCCUACGGGAGGGAGCAGUGGGGAAUCUUGCGAAACGGGCGGAAGCAUGACGCAGCCAUGCCGGGUGAAUGAUGAAGGUCGUAGGAUUGGAAAAUUCUUUCAGCGGGGACGAUAAUGACGGUACCCGCAGAAGAAGCACCGGCUAACUUCGUG
rnacentral:rRNA from 1 species